rnacentral:misc_RNA from 1 species
CUCUUACACUUCUCUCUUCAGUCCCAUCUUAGAAGCUUAGCCCUAUUUCUCUUUCCAUCUUUCUUGCUCCAUGGAAUUCUGGGGUGUUGAAGUCAAAGCGGGGGAGCCUCUCAAAGUAACACCUGAUCUUGACAGAAUCAUACAUCUCUCUCAGGCGGCUCUAGGCGAGUCAAAGAAAGAAAAAGGAAAUGAAUCAGUGCCUCUUUUUCUAAAGAUUGAUGAUAAGAAGAUUGUACUGGGGAGUCUUUCUCCUGAAAACAUCCCUCAGUUGUCUUUUGAUUUGGUUUU